rnacentral:rRNA from 1 species
UACGGAGGGGGCGAGCGUUGUUCGGAAUUACUGGGCGUAAAGGGCGCGUAGGCGGCGCAGUUAGUUAGACGUGAAAGCCCCGGGCUCAACCUGGGAGGUGCGUUUAAAACUGCUGUGCUUGAGAUCGGAAGAGGGUAGUGGAAUUUCCAGUGUAGAGGUGAAAUUCGUAGAUAUUGGAAAGAACACCAGUGGCGAAGGCGGCUACCUGGUCCGAAUCUGACGCUGAGGCGCGAAAGCGUGGGGAGCAAAC